rnacentral:lncRNA from 1 species
GCAUGGUAGCUCUUGGGUUGGGUGUAUAGCAUGGUGGUUUCAAUUUUUUUUUCUGGUUGCAACUUGUUGGUGAUAGGUCUAUUUCUGUCCCUUGUUGUGGUGGAGCUUACCAAUUCUUAGUUUGAUUUUAGGGUUGCGUUAUGGGGACGGUUUUUCGUGUUUUCGGUACUGUCUAGGGUGUAUUCUUUCGCCUUCAAACGGAUUCCUACCUUGCAGGUCCAUUCCCAUCACCUGCAUCACAUACAUUAAGUUUUGGAAGAUGGCAA